GCCGGCAUAGCUCAAUGGCAGAGCAACUGUUUUGUAAACAGUAGGUUGGGGGUUCAAAUCCGUCUGCCGGCU
rnacentral:tRNA from 1 species